AACAGAUUGCAUCUUUCAUGUUUAAUUUUCGUUUAAUUCCUGAGGAAGGCAGAGGCUCAGUGGAAUGACUCACCCUCAUCCUCUUCCUUCAGGAACACGCCUGCCGACCCGACGGACGCCAGAACCUGGAACUGACCCUAUGUGUUCCCCUCCUGAACUGAUCGUUUUUCAUACGGCGUUUUUUGACCAGAAGCCAAGUUCAUCUGAGGCUCAGCCACGAAGCAGGGUUUCAAAUCAGGUGAGGAGGUAAAAGAUGGACUUUUCCAGCCUUUCAGCCAGUGAUUCAUCCGUCAUCGUCUCUGUGCCUGGAGAGAACACCAAAGCCAAAAUGAACAUGUGCCUUGUACUAAGAAAUCCCAGGGUUGUCACCACUUAUGCCAGCUGCUGAGGUUACGACACCUGUGCCAGCAUUGCCAGCUCUGCCCACUGUCAUCUGUUCCAACUGUUCCAUCUGCACUGUUUGUACCAAUUCUCCCAUUUCUGCAUCUGUACCUUCUGCAGAAACGUUUCCAACAAUGCCAGCUGUGUCAUUGGUGCCAAAUAUGCCAGAUGUUCUAUUUGUCCACCCUGGGCCAAAUCAAUGCAGUUUUGUGCUCAUUAGUUUUAGCUGGUAGAUUCUAUUUUACAAUUUUUUGAGAUGUAUUUAGAUUGAAUCCAGGCAAAAAUCCCCCUUGCAACACUUUGACGUCUCCCUACCCAUCUUUUUGGCCACCCCAACUUUCUCUAACAGCAUGAAGUUGGUCCAUGUCAUCUUGAUCGGACGAAACCCAUGCUCUCCAACCAACGCAGCGCUAAUUGCAGUAGGCCGUUGCCUGCAACGCGAAACUAUAUGGAAGAAAAUAUUGCAGAAGCUCCCAAACACAACAAUAAGCAAGGAGCCCUAACACUGAAUCUCCAAACGUUAAACCAGAUUCUUUCCUCUCCAAUUGUUCUUGGAGAUGGAGGAUGAGCUCAGAGUCUGUCCUUUGAAAACCGAUGCUCUUCCAGGAAUGUGAGGUCCAGGGGAACAGCAUCUACCUCCUGUUUAUCCAGCUUGGAUCACUUAACCACUGCUUCCCAAUGACGAAAGUCGCAAAUAUUCACUGCUCCUUCAAAGCCUUAAUAAUGGAGUUCUUGACAGCAAAUAAAAUGGCUUGUGAUAACGCCCAAAGAUCUGUACUCGGUCUACACACAUGAUGAGGUCCAGUGAGGAAAUGUCUCAACGGCAUUUUCAGGUUUCAAACUC